ACACGAUAAUUGAGUUUCUAGUGGGUGCUGCGGUCCCACCGAUGCCGUGCACCUCACCUAACAGUUAUUGGUAACAUGAAUAAACACCAAUCUAUGGAUAACUCUUUGUCCAGAUGCUUCUCUAAGUAUGUUGCAGCUAUUUGAUCUCUAAGUCAUGUGGGCUCACCUAACAGUUAUUGUCCACACUCCUUAGUUAAGCCAGAUCCACCGUUCACAAGCAGGUGUAAAGCCGUCAUUGGAUCCCUCACCUAACAGUUAUUGGGUCCAAUCCUAUCUUUACCCUACAGUAACUCUUUGCUAAUAAAGUGAUUACAUGUUCUCGAUGCAGCUGAACUAC
rnacentral:lncRNA from 1 species